GCGCAGGUACGGCGGCCGUAGAAUCGGUGUUUCUCUCCGGGAAACCUUUCUCAUCACCUGGGUCAUUUGGUUAAAAGCCUCAGACGGUCCUCCAUCAGCAGAGGACAAUAGCGGCAGUACGAACAACAGUGACAGCUCUGCUGGACAGACAGACCUGCCCGGGUGGACACUUGAGAGGGUAUCUGAUGCAGUCCAAAGCUGUCUUCAUCUUGAACACAAGAAACCUGCUGAAGUCUCCGUCUUUAUGAGUCAGUUUCCGGCCAGCGUUAUUUGGGCUUUCUCAGCUUCCUCAGCCGGCUCAGCUGCAGAGAUCUGAAGCCCUACUGAACACAAGACAGGGGAAGUUGGCCUCUGCACGCCCCCUGCUGGAGGACAGAGGGCAUGGCUCGCUUGUCGACCUGCUGACGCCUCAUGCGGAUGACAGCUGCAUCCACCUGAGCUGCUGCCCUCUUGCCGUGCUGGUCAUCCAGCAGCUGCAGACAGGCGCGCUGCAGCCUCGCCAGCUCAUCCUCAGAGGACAUCAGACACCGCCUCAGCACUGCGCUGCCCUGAGAGACACACAGGAAACACAUUUAACCUGGUUUGGUUUGUUUGAGACAAACCACUGAAGGCUUUUUUUAAUAUAAGGUGUGAACAUCUGCCAGCAUAUUUGAAUAUGACGAGAUCCUGGUGUGUCUGUCUUUACUGUCACACAUGAGGAGAAAAGAUUCUACUAUAUGGAAGACAAAAAGUUUACGCCACACCGUGUGUGUUUGCUGUUAUUCCCAGUAUUCAGGUCAGUGUAUGUUUAUGAGGCUAUUAUCUUCAGUCUUUAACCUCUUGUAACAAUGGUUCUCAAACUUCUAUUAACAAUAAACCCUCUGACCACUGCAAAACAUUUUUGGUAGAGAAACAGUGAACAAACAUAAAUGUGGAUGUGAUUGUGUUUGUUGCAGCAGUUAAAAGUUUACAGUGAUUGGAUUAACAAAAUAAAUAUUUAAUAUAAAA